rnacentral:ncRNA from 1 species
CUAAUCUGCGGCGGCCACGGCCAGUCCCGUGGCCGGGUUUAGCGACCCGAAAA